UUGUAGCAGCCUUUACUCUGCCGAGGUUAGGGAUGUUAGGAAGCCUCUUUGUCCCCGAAGCGCCGAUGAAAAUUAGGAUCAAGUUCCUCAGGGUCAUGAAGUCAAUUAUUAGUGGCCUCCAGCCCUCCAAACGGCAAUUGGAGGAAAGGUAAUCUACGCUACGAGAACUGACACUGUGGACGUCGCAAUUGCCAGUACCGGUUCUGAAGGUUACGGAGUUGCGUAUAGAGAAUGGGGAACCCGUGCCUUGACUGGGAAUGGUAGUGAUAUCUUGUGCUCAAUCUGUCAAAGGCAAGAAGGAGGAGGGAUUUAUUUGAGGCCCCUACGACCUGGGGAAUCCCACAGGAAUUAUGGACAGCAGUGGCAUCAUCGGAAGAAAUCCUGAGCCUCCCAGAGUGACCACCCCAAAGCAGUUACACUCAAGUGGAGUUAAAUUUCAGUUAUCCCCAUGGAUCUCCUACAUCUUUGGAGACACCUUCAAAGGGCUAGGCUCAGCAAGAGGCAGUCCCAAUAUAUGGAGGAACAGAAGACUGAGAGUAUACCAGUCUCUACUGAGACAGCCCCCAAACCCGGCAGAACUUUCAGGU